GACGAACGCUGGCGGCGUGCUUAACACAUGCAAGUCGAACGGAAAGGCCCUGCUUUUGUGGGGUGCUCGAGUGGCGAACGGGUGAGUAACACGUGAGUAACCUGCCCUUGACUUUGGGAUAACUUCAGGAAACCGGGGCUAAUACCGGAUAGGAGCUCCUGCUGCAUGGUGGGGGUUGGAAAGUUUCGGCGGUUGGGGAUGGACUCGCGGCUUAUCAGCUUGUUGGUGGGGUAGUGGCUUACCAAGGCUUUGACGGGUAGCCGGCCUGAGAGGGUGACCGGCCACAUUGGGACUGAGAUACGGCCCAGACUCCUACGGGAGGCAGCAGUGGGGAAUAUUGCACAAUGGGCGGAAGCCUGAUGCAGCAACGCCGCGUGCGGGAUGACGGCCUUCGGGUUGUAAACCGCCUUCGCCUGUGACGAAGCGUGAGUGACGGUAAUGGGUAAAGAAGCACCGGCUAACUACGUG
rnacentral:rRNA from 1 species